AUUUGAACUCGUCUCCCUGUCUCCAUGUUCUACCCACCAUGCUCCACUCUCUGCUGCCACUCUCUCUAGGUCCCACAAACACUUCCAUUUUCCACCCUUUUCCGCUGCUACUACCACAGGACGUCAGGCCCGUUUCCUGUUGUUGGUGGCCCAUUGCCCUUAGAGGAGGAGGCCAAUCUUAGGGGCAUUUUAGCUAACGUGGGCCUGGAGGGCAGCUUAGCAGGAAGUUUCCCCCAACGUCAACAGGCCCGCCCUGGUACGGAGCAGAGCUGAAGCCCUUUCAUCUGGAGACGGCAGGAUUCAGCAAGUCAGACUUCUUGGCAAGCCAGUCAGCUCAUCAUGGAGGUGUGAGGCCGGCUGAGGCCGACAGCCUUCCCCGGCUGCGGGGCCAAUGGAUGAUGCCUAGCUACCUCUGGCUCCCCAGGAAUGCUGAAGAAUGAAGGGCUUUUCUGAAGAAAAAUGACCUCCCUUUCUCCUUCCUUCUCUCUGUUUCUCUCUCCCUCCCUCCCCUUCCUUCUUGGGUUCUUUGAGGACAGGGACUGUUUGUCUCCCUUUGAUUCUCCAGCUCUUACGCAGGGCUCAGCACAUGACAAGGCCGAUUGAAGAUUAUGAACAGUAUUACCCCAUAAAAGCGAAGAGGAACAGUAGGACUUAAAAUCAGUGUAAAGAGAACUUUGUGAGGCAACGAAUUGAGCAAAGUUAUCCCCAAGGACAUUCACAUCUGAACAUGGAAGGAAGACAACAAACAGAAAA